rnacentral:rRNA from 1 species
CCUACGGGGGGCAGCAGUGGGGAAUAUUGGACAAUGGGGGCAACCCUGAUCCAGCCAUGCCGCGUGUGUGAAGAAGGCCCUCGGGUUGUAAAGCACUUUCAGUGAGGAAGAACGCCUGGUGGUUAAUACCCAUCAGGAAAGACAUCACUCACAGAAGAAGCACCGGCUAACUCCGUGCCAGCAGCCGCGAUAAUACGGAGGGUGCGAGCGUUAAUCGGAAUUACUGGGCGUAAAGCGCGCGUAGGUGGCUUGAUAAGCCGGUUGUGAAAGCCCCGGGCUCAACCGGGGAACGGCAUCCGGAACUGUCAAGCUAGAGUGCAGGAGAGGAAGGUAGAAUUCCCGGUGUAGCGGUGAAAUGCGUAGAGAGCGGGAGGAAUACCAGUGGCGAAGGCGGCCUUCUGGACUGACACUGACACUGAGGUGCGAAAGCGUGGGUAGCAAACAGGAUUAGAUACCCUGGUAGUC